GGUCUCACAAACAAAACGUACAUAUUUACACGUAAAUUAAAACAGUCCAAUACGUAUGUGCUUUUACGUAUUUAUAGUGCCUUUACGUAUUAUCUGGACGUAAUUGCAGGAUCGAUACGUAUCUAAAUGUACGUAAAAUGUCCUAAAAUACGUACAGAUUAAAACGUGUUCUGACCAGUAGUUAUCCAGUAACAUUUAUGAAGCCGCUUUUUUAUGAAGCGCUUUUAAUGCGCAUUAGAUUUAAUUCUCCGUUUAAAACACUUUGGCACUUUAAUACUUACUUGCUACAGAGCAUUAUACACUUUACGAUGUAAUACAUUUUUAUUUAAAAUAAUGAUCGGACAAAACCAGAACAGAUCGCGUUCCCGACCGGACUCAUUUCAGCGUUACAACAGAUUUACAAUGUCUGCGACGGUGUUGACAUCUCUUCUCCAGAUCAAACUAACAUAAUAUGCUGCAUACCGAUUCAUAUUAUUCAUCUGAACCGUUCUCUAACUGAAUCCAUAGAGCUGUUUGGACGGCCAGACCAACAUCCAAAGGUCGCUACGAACUACCAUUGCCCCAUCUUCACUCUGAGCAAUGCAGAGAAACAUGGAUACCAGGUGUGCUAGAAAUGCAGAAGAGUGGCUACUGGCCUGCAACUGUAAACUUCUGUACCAUUUAUGAUGAGGAAGUCUUUGUGUCCUUCGAAGAUUUGAAAAUGGCUGCUCCAGGAUUGUCCCGUUUAGCAUUCAUAAGAAUGCUUGACAUGAAGACAGUGCACUAUGGCAGAACUCGGCUGAAUCUAAAGAAAGAGACCGAAAGCCUACAAGAACCUACAAUGAAAAUGAACUGGUUGUAGAUGAUGGUCACAGAUGUUCAGGAGUGGGCUCGCACUGCAACUGUAGGAAGACAGUGAUGUUGCAAUUCAGACAACAAGGAACACAAUAGAAGAAUUAUCUUUGUGCAUUAAACAACGGAAGCAUCGACUUUAUAGACACACUGCCACAAUCAAAGGACGGAAUAAAAUAAGAAGAAAAAUCAAUGAGGAGAAAAAGAAGCUUGCUUUUGCCAUUGAACACCACAAUGCCCUUGUUGACCCCACCCAGAAAAAUUAACCCCUGGAAUCUUCCAGAUGAUGGGAUUCAAGGACUUCAAUGUGUGUUGAAGAGAAAAUUACAUCAGUUAAGAGCUCACCAGGGCACUGUAAAAACAAGUUAUCAGACAAUAGACAUCAUAAACGAACAUAUUACUGUUGAAGAAUGUAAAUAUCCCAGCUGGCCAUAAGACUCAGAAGCCCUUUAUUCAAGCAGUGCUGAUCUGAGCUCUGAUGAAGAUGAUACAUGUCUGCUGUAGUUAUUUACUAAAUACGUUGCAGUUUUUUUUCUUUUACUUUAUCUAUUACUCUUCUUUCUCCACCAGUCUUCUCUUUUUUUAGUUUUUCCCUCUGAUUGCAUGUGUGCUUGCCUUAUACCAUGGGAGAUGAAAUAUUAACUUUUUAAUAAAGGAUGGAUUAAAAUGUUAAUUUGGGUUUUUCUGAUGGGAUUUACAGACAUAUAUCCUGUGCAUUUUUACAGACAUGUCCUACAGUGGAUUGCUGGGAUUGGGGGCUGUAAGAGUAGUUUUGAGAAAUGUUUCUAUUUUGUGUGCAACAGAAGAUUAUUUACAAAUCUGAACAAUGAUAAAUAAAAAGUAAUUAUAUUUACUCGUUGUUACUUGCUGUAUUCUUUAAGAAAAUUGCUUUAAAUUGUAAAUUCAUAUAAAUAAUGUACAUGCAUGCGUGAACACUAUUACUA